rnacentral:rRNA from 1 species
GAUGAACGCUGGCGGCGUGCCUAAUACAUGCAAGUCGAGCGAACAGAUAAGGAGCUUGCUCCUUUGACGUUAGCGGCGGACGGGUGAGUAACACGUGGGUAACCUACCUAUAAGACUGGAAUAACUCCGGGAAACCGGGGCUAAUGCCGGAUAACAUUUAGAACCGCAUGGUUCUAAAGUGAAAGAUGGUUUUGCUAUCACCUAUAGAUGGACCCGCGCCGUAUUAGCUAGUUGGUAAGGUAAUGGCUUACCAAGGCAACGAUACGUAGCCGACCUGAGAGGGUGAUCGGCCACACUGGAACUGAGACACGGUCCAGACGCCUACGGGAGGCAGCAGUAGGGAAUCUUCCGCAAUGGGCGAAAGCCUGACGGAGCAACGCCGCGUGAGUGAUGAAGGGUUUCGGCUCGUAAAACUCUGUUAUUAGGGAAGAACAAACGUGUAAGUAACUGUGCACGUCUUGACGGUACCUAAUCAGAAAGCCACGGCUAACUACGUGCCAGCAGCCGCAGUAA